GAUGAACGCUGGCGGCGUGCUUAACACAUGCAAGUCGAACGGGAUCCCAGGAGCUUGCUCCUGGGUGAGAGUGGCGAACGGGUGAGUAAUGCGUGACCGACCUGCCCCAUACACCGGAAUAGCUCCUGGAAACGGGUGGUAAUGCCGGAUGCUCCAGUUGACCGCAUGGUCCUCUGGGAAAGCUUUUGCGGUAUGGGAUGGGGUCGCGUCCUAUCAGCUUGAUGGCGGGGUAACGGCCCACCAUGGCUUCGACGGGUAGCCGGCCUGAGAGGGCGACCGGCCACAUUGGGACUGAGAUACGGCCCAGACUCCUACGGGAGGCAGCAGUGGGGAAUAUUGCACAAUGGGCGCAAGCCUGAUGCAGCGACGCCGCGUGAGGGAUGGAGGCCUUCGGGUUGUAAACCUCUUUUAUCGGGGAGCAAGCGAGAGUGAGUUACC
rnacentral:rRNA from 1 species